GCAUCACUAAAAAUAGAUUUUAUUUUUAAUUUUGUAAAUGGCAUGUUAGUAAUCACACAUAUUCAUAAGAUCCACUGUGAUAUCUCUAUACACACAUAUAAUGUAUAAUAAUCAGAACAAUGAAAUUGGUAUAUCUAUCUAACCCUAGACAUUUGAUAUUUUUUGUUUAGAGAAUAUUAAAAAUCUUUACUAAUAGCUACUUUUAAGUCUUCAGCUAAUUAUUGUCAACUAUAGUUGUCCUAUAUCAUAGAUAAUUAGAAGUCAUCACACUGAACCAUCUGAACCUUGUACCUGUUAAUUUUUGCCUCAGCAUCAUCCUUUUCCAUACUCAAAGCAGGGGAUUUGGGAUGCAAUUAAUUAAAUCAGAAAAUUACUUGCUUCCAACAGAAUAUAUUUUUAUGGUAUUUCCUAGUAUUUAUAAAAUAAGCUUUUCAAAGUGAAUCAUUGUACAGUCUCCACUUGCUGCUAUUUUUAACUUUUAGCCCUCAUGUAAUGGAAACAAUGUUGGCUCUAGGUUUAGACAUGGGUUUGGAUUCAUAGUUAUGAUAUGUAUGUGAGGCAUUAAACUCCCCGGGCUUCAGUUCCCAGUCUUGAAAGUAGGAUUGUCAUGAGGAUUAAGUACCAUAUGAGAAUGUGCCUGGCAUAGUGCCUAGUACACAGCAGGUGCUGAGUGAAUGAUCUUAUUCCUAUGUUAUUAUGAACAUCAGCUACUUAUUAAUGUAAUUCUAUUUUGAAUAUGGUAGAUAUGAGCAUUUGAGAAAUGUGCAUACUAGUUUUUGCACUUGGAAAUGCCAUUUUGACAUAUUCUUAUCACCUUGGUUAUUUUUCUUUUUCUGGAUGUUUGUAUUAUCACAGCAGAAAUAGAAUAUUGAAAACAGCAGCUAUUGAUAAAAAUAAAAAUAUUGUUUAUGAUAAAUGUUGCUAAUACUAUAGCCAUUUCAGAUCAAUGAUAAUAGACUUAACAUAUAUGUUAUAAAAUUACAGAUAACUCCCCCAAAACUUUGUUUUUCUGAUUCUUUUCAACUCUAAUUUUAUUAAGGGGAUUUGUUGUCUAUUUUUUUUAAACCAGUACUUAAUUUAUGUCUUACAAAUACAGGCCAUCAUGGUAUUUGUAAUUUCCUCAUGUAAUAAUGCUGUGAAUUUUGUUGGUAAACUGAUACUUCAAUACUUUUCAUAUUUUUAAAACAACUGAUUUAAAAUAGAUUUUUAUUGUUAUAUAGACUGAUUUCUUUUAUAAAUGUUAACUUCAGAAGUUGGAAAUUUUGUUCCUGAUUUUUAUUUUGUAGUUCCCUAAUUUUUCAUAGUGGAGAGAGAUAAAAUGAAUGAGUAUGAAUAUGCAAAUAUGUCUGAUUUAUCAUUCAGUUUUUGUUUGGGAUGGAUGGAAGAGAAGAAAAACAUCUAUUAAUAUCUUUAACAUUCAAUUCAUACUUUGAAUCUAUCUGAAAACUAAUGGGAAAUUGCUUCCAUCAUCUUAAGUUUUUGAUUCAUUUCUCAAGGGUGGAAGGAAAUACCUUGACAGAUUUAGCACUCAAAUUCAAAUGACUAUGAGAACAGGUGGCAAAAUUUUUCCUCCACCUGCCAUGCAACUUUAUCACAAGAAAUGUUUCAUUUAGCAAAUGCUGCUGCUAGCACACACUUCUCUACUUCAGAGCAGGCAAACAAAUGGAGGGAGAGUACUUCUUUGAAGAAAACCCCUUUCUUGAAUUCCUUUUAAAACUGUGAGUUUGAAAUCUGACUUUUCUUUUCCUGGGGGCUGAGUUGUGGAAAGGAUGAGUCAUUGACUUGAUUAACUGGCCUGCUUUAUGUUACUGCCAAUCCCUCUACGGCUGUCGCGUGUGUUGUCUUCUUAGUGUUGCUGUUCCUCUGUGCGCACCCACUGGCAGGAACAUUUGGUUACGAUAAUAUUAUUAAUCUUGGAACUUGAAAAUAUUUGUCUUAUACUUUAAAUGGUAACUUAAGAGAGACUUGUGUUUUGUUGUAGUGAAGCUGUGUUAUUACAGUAUAAGUUAGAUUGAAUAUGUAUGAGGAAAUUAUAGCAAGCCAAAAGUGAAAUUUUGUGAACUUAACUAGUAACUGAAUGGAGAGAAGCAAUAAAGCUGUUCGUAUACUUUAGAAUUUAUUCUGAUUCAUGUAAGUAACGCAAGAAUGUUUAAGACAGACUAUUUCCUUGCAAAAUCACUGUGCUGUUCUUUAUUUGAUAUAAAGCUAAAAGUUAAUCUACCAAUGAAUAAGUUGGCAUACAAAACUUCCCUCCCAAGGAAAGUCAUGAGGUUUUAAUGUAUUCUCAUGAUAAUAAUUUCAAAAAGUACUAAACUGUUCCCCUUUUCCUUGACAGUGAAAUGUCACCUUCCCUGGCUUUUGCAUUUAAGGUGUAUUUGUAGAUUGAGGUGAUAAAAGCCAAGAAAAUGAAAUGUGCAUUUUAUAACUUACCUCGAUUUCCAACACAAUAGCUGCUUUUAAUAAACUUAGGCUUUUGGAUGUAGAGAUCUAGGACUAUUUAGUGGAAGCUUGUGAAUUUGGACUCAAUGCAAAUUAGAUGUGCCCUCCCAUUAAGCAUACCAACCAAUGUGAUUGGCAUAGUAAUUUAUAAGACUAUUCAGUUCUUCCUAGAACCUUGAACAAAUGAACUUACCUAUCACUGUUCUGUAUUGCAAAUGUUUUAACAAGAUUCACAGAGCACUCCUUUUGUGACAGUCUCCUAGGAUAUAGAUGCAAUGCACAAUCCUUCAUUAUCAUAAAAGAAAGAAAGAAAAAAGACUGGUCUAGUAAUUUUUAGAAGUCUUUUUGUCAAGUAUCCAUUUGGAUGAACAGCUCCACGUAGACUCCAGGGAUUUCAUGCAUGUCUGCACUAGUAAUUUUGAAAGUAUGUCUUGUGUUCUAUGCUUUGAUAAUUUAUAGGUUUACAGAUAGAAACUUUGUGUUGAUUUGCAUACUCAUGGAUAGUAAAGAAAUUGAACAUUUUGAUUUGUCAAGUAUUUGUACAUCUGUCUAUAUGAAUUGUGCACUUGUAUUCACUUACAUUUGUUUUCCUUGAGGUUUUUGUGAAAUACGGAAAUUUUGAGAUUAUGAUUACAAUGUUAGCAUUGCCUUGUUAACAAAAAACAAUUGCUUAGACUUUUUUUUUCCUUCAAACAACAGUGUAAGUAAAUACACUACUGUGUGUUCAGUUUUUUUCAUGUUUGCAUUUGUUUUAGUAAAAUGAAUUGAGAGGCCUCUACCUCUAAAUUAAUUCUCUCCAAAAAACACUGAUUAUUUUCUUGAGUAAACACCAUUGGCUGGUUCAUGCACAUUUUAUGAAAGAUUGGUUUUGUGUUCAUUGGUUGUUUGUUUUGAAAAUAAAAUGUGUUCAUUGUAGAGGAUUAGUUUGGCAACCAUAUGUAGACACGGAUGUAGCAGAAAGAUUUAAGUUUUAGAAAAGCUAAUAAAGACAUUGUCUCCUCUAAAUAACCUUUGAGUAUUUAUGUAAUCACAGUUUGUUCAUGAUUUGUAAGGUUGUAACUUAUUAUAUAUAAAUAAAUCCAGUUAACAAUUGUUUUAAGUAGAAUUAAGAAAUUGUUAUUCUUACAUG
rnacentral:lncRNA from 1 species